UACGUAGGGGGGCAAGCGUUGUCCGGAUUUAUUGGGCGUAAAGAGCGUGUAGGCGGCCUGAAAGGUCAGCUGUGAAACUCGAGGCUCAACCUCGAGACGUCGGUUGAAACCAUCUGGCUAGAGUCCGGAAGAGGAGAGUGGAAGUUCCCGGUGUAGCGGUGAAAUGCGCAGAUAUCGGGGAAGAACACCCGUGCGAAGGCGGCUCUCUGG
rnacentral:rRNA from 1 species